rnacentral:lncRNA from 1 species
CUGUUAUCUGCACAGAAGAUCAAUUGGCCCAUGAGGAAGGUAUGCAGCAGGGCAUGAAGAUGGGAAAGGAUAUGGCACACAGCCACCAUCUGUGAACACAGCAUUCUGGUCAGGAUCAUAGGGUAGUGGAAAGGGUGGCAGAUGGCGAUGUAUCUGUCGUAGGCCAUUACAGCCAGGAGGAAGUUUUCCAUGGCUGCAAAACAAAUGAAGAAUAAGAGGAGGGAAGAGAGUCCUUGAAGAUACAGCACAUCUGAGGAUGGCAUAUGGAAGAGGCACUAUGAAGGGAAAGAAAAGAAAAAAGAAGACUUACAGAGUCAAAGACAAACUUCAAAAUUUGUUCAAUAUUGUGCAAAGGAUCAAAUUUGAGACGGAUGUUCCUCCCUCCAGAAAUUACUGAGAGUGUGUAGGAAUUUUCUGAGGUGGUCAGAAACUGCUAUGUGGUGUGCAGCCCUAAAUGAAGAUACUCACCUUACUGUGGACCCCUGACAGGACUGGAAUGGGCUGAACUUGGCACUUCCAUCCUUCCUUAGGCACCACGUGUGGUCAUGUCUUGUUUUGACAGCAGCUCAGAGCUGUACACUCAAGGAAGACAGAGGAAAUUGCCCAGCACAGAAAGAAAUGCAUCAGGCAGAAUUUAAAGGGAAAGAACAACCAGACCCUUGGGAGUGGUUCUGCUUGUCAGCAACAGGAAGGCAUGUCUGAGAAAGGUGCUGGGAGGUUUUAUCAUGUGCUUCCUCAAGAAUUCCAAGGUUCUCACUAGCACGGAGUCCUAAGUGUAUCAUUGUCCAAACUUCGUGCCUUCUCUGGGGAGUGGAGCCCAUGGGGCAGUGCUUCCAAUGUUAGUAUUAGUGGCUGUGGCUUGGCCGCUCAGCAGAUCCCAGGAGGAUGGCCAGGACCUGGGAGAUCAGCCUGGACAUGUGUUCUCUGAUGUGUGCUCCAAAAUUUGAC